rnacentral:lncRNA from 1 species
UAACAGCCUUCUUAAAGUGCCAUAGGACACCUUCACUGGAGCUUCAGAAAUUCUAAAUAUAGAAUUCAAGAGCAGCAAACACUAAUAUCAGGAUUUAGUUUGGCCCAGAGUAACCCUGUAAAGAAGUUGUCUGCAUGUCAGGACAAAGCAAAGAAGAAUUCAGCAACUGCUGCUUAAAAACUCAUUCACUGCUUUAGAAAUCGAGACAAAGUGAAAGACAUGGAUGGAAUGAAUUCAGCCCCUCCUCCUAUUGUUUCUCUAGCAAGCAGGUGACCAAAGCUAUAAAUGUUUGUUUCCUGAAAACUAAAGUCCUGACUUGUCAUCUU